rnacentral:rRNA from 1 species
GAUGAACGCUAGCUACAGGCUUAACACAUGCAAGUCGAGGGGCAGCGGGAUUGAAGCUUGCUUCAAUUGCCGGCGACCGGCGCACGGGUGAGUAACGCGUAUCCAACCUUCCGUACACUCAGGGAUAGCCUUUCGAAAGAAAGAUUAAUACCUGAUGGUAUGAUGAGAUCGCAUGGUAUCAUCAUUAAAGAUUUAUCGGUGUACGAUGGGGAUGCGUUCCAUUAGGUAGUAGGCGGGGUAACGGCCCACCUAGCCUACGAUGGAUAGGGGUUCUGAGAGGAAGGUCCCCCACAUUGGAACUGAGACACGGUCCAAAACUCCUACGGGAGGCAGCAGUGAGGAAUAUUGGUCAAUGGGCGAGAGCCUGAACCAGCCAAGUAGCGUGAAGGAUGACUGCCCUAUGGGUUGUAAACUUCUUUUAAUAAAGGAAUAAAGUCGGGUAUGGAUACCCGUUUGCAUGUACUUUAUGAAUAAGGAUCGGCUAACUCCGUGCCAGCAGCCG